rnacentral:lncRNA from 1 species
CCUGAUCAAAAUGCUUAUCUGGAUUUCCAACCCCUCUUACAUUCCAAAAUAGUAGCUUCAUUCUUAUUUUUAAGGGUUAAACAUAGAUAGAAUUCCCAGCAUCCAUGAUUGUCAUACGUAAAGAUGAUAUUCAAGUAGUUGUGACUGUCUCCUGAUCCAAAUUUGCUUAGUAGUUAUGGUUUUGCUUUCUUGAUUCAUUCCUUUCAAUGUCAACCAACUGAUGUGCUUAGCAAUAGCUGAUUUCAGUGGCAAAACAAAGACCAAAAUCGAAGCCAGUCGAUGUUCCACAUGCAGUGUGUUCAUGCCCGGUUGAUUGCGGGUUUGGCUCCGCAACAUGCUGCCUCAAGACCUUUGAGCUUGUUGAUUGAACUCAUGGUCACCUGCAGGAAACAGUGACCACAUUUCUUACCUAGAGCUCUGAUCUCACCUGCCGUGAGAGAGUUGACGAAGAGGAUGUCAUCCGGCUUCAGUACUUCUUCAUGCAGUCCGCGAGUCUUGAUUUUUUUCUUCCUAAGUCUCGGGCUUCUCUUGACUCCUUGGUUCCUAGUUGUUUGCUCCAUAAGCUUAAAAGCAGCAAACGUCAUGACAAUAUAACCUUCCGAUAUAGAUACCACUAAACAAAUAUUUC